UACGAAGGGGGCUAGCGUUGCUCGGAAUUACUGGGCGUAAAGCGCACGUAGGCGGUCUUUUAAGUCGGGGGUGAAAUCCUGGAGCUCAACUCCAGAACUGCCUUCGAUACUGGAAGACUUGAGUCCGGGAGAGGUGAGUGGAACUGCGAGUGUAGAGGUGAAAUUCGUAGAUAUUCGCAAGAACACCAGUGGCGAAGGCGCUCACUGGCCCGGUACUGACGCUGAGGCGCGACAGCGUGGGGAGCAAACG
rnacentral:rRNA from 1 species